AUGGCUAACCCUGGUGCACUUUGUUGUUCCAUUACCUUGCAAGCAUUUACUUUCUUAUCUUUGCUUGCAGCUGUGGUAGCAGAUCUCCAGGGAGGUGACGGGUGCCCACAUUUCUCGUGUGGACGUCUCCGAAACAUAUCUUAUCCAUUCCGCCGUCGAGGUGAUCCACCUGGAUGCGGUUCUAAGUACUAUGAACUGGAGUGCAGCGAUAGCCAUGCAAAAAUCCGCAUUGGCAAUGCGGAGUACUAUGUGGUUGGCAUCAACUAUAAUGAUUCAUCCUUCUGGGCCAUCGACACUAUCUUUGAUACGAAAAGAGGCUGCCUUCUUCCUUGCUACUCUUACCCGGAGGGGAUGGUUGAUUCACAUGGCCUCGACAUUUUGGAGGUUGAAUUAUUCCCUUGGGCAUGCUUUGUUAAUUGUUCGCGAGCCAUAACGAAAAAUAGUUGGUACAAGCCUGUUGCCUGCCUGAGUGCAAACAAUUCAUUUGUUUAUGUCUGGGCUGGUUAUUGUGACAUCUUACAUCUUGAGCAUUCCUGUGGAUACUUAGCCAUGACACCUUUUGAUGGUUCCUCAAUCCUAGACAAACAGCUACAGAAUGUGUCAAUCCGAGACAAACAGCUACAGAAUGUAAGUUACGCAGAUAUCAUGCACUUGACAAGGAAGGGAUUUCCUGUUAGCUUUCCUGUUGAUGGUAGACUCGACAGGCUUUCGAAGAUCAUCAAAGAAUGCCUGCACAAUUCAACAAGCGAUUUCAGGAAGCAAGUAUCUCCUGCAAACAUGAUGAGUCAGAUUCGUGCUUUCUUCUGGAGUGAGUUACAGUUCUUAAAAUGCUUAAAAGGUUCUCAUGCACUAUCAACAACGCAUAUCAUGUAUGUGGAGGUUAGAGCCAUAAUAUCCGCUAUUGAUAUCCCCAAAUUCCUUGUUGUACUAUGCAGGUUUGUGCUGGCGCCCCUGGCUGUAUUGAUCUUCCUUGCAUACACGUAUUGGAAAACAAGGAUUACAAUUGAUGCAGUUGAGAAGUUUCUUCGGAUGCAACAAAUGAUCGGGCCGAUGAGAUACGUCUACACCGACAUCAUUGCAAUCACAGGCCACUUCAGAAACAAGCUAGGCCAAGGUGGCUAUGGCUCUGUGUUCAAGGGCGUGCUACUGCCAGGCAAUGUUCAUGUUGCCAUCAAGAUGCUAGAGGGCAGCUCCAACUGCAAUGGAGAAGACUUCAUCAGUGAAGUCUCCACCAUCGGCAGGAUCCACCACAUCAAUGUGGUCCGUCUUGUGGGGUUCUGCUCAGAUGAAAUGAGAAGGGCGCUCGUCUACGAGUACAUGCCUCGAGGUUCUCUUGACAAGUACAUCUUCUCGGCCGAGAAGAGUUUUUCUUGGGACAAGCUCAAUGAGAUUGCUUUGGGCAUUGCCCGAGGGAUUGAUUACUUGCAUCGAGGUUGUGAUAUGCAGAUUCUCCACUUUGACAUCAAGCCGCACAACAUCCUUCUAGACAGCAAUUUUGUCCCAAAAGUUGCUGAUUUCGGUCUCGCCAAACUGUACCCAAGGGACAAGAGUUUUGUGCCAUCGAGAGCUCUACGGGGAACUGUUGGAUACAUAGCUCCUGAGAUGAUAUCUCGGAGUUUUGGGGUCAUAUCGAGCAAGUCUGAUGUUUACAGCUUUGGGAUGCUGCUGUUGGAGAUGGCUGGAGGAAGAAGGAACGCCGAUCCGAAUGCAGCGAACUCGAGCCAAGCAUACUACCCGUCAUGGGUGUAUGAUAGACUAACUGAACAAGAAGUGUGUGAGAUAUCUCCCGUUGCUGACAUGCAUGAGUUGGAGAGGAAGCUGUGUAUCGUUGGACUAUGGUGCAUCCAGAUGAAGUCUAAUGACAGGCCGACGAUGAGCGAGGUCAUAGAGAUGCUGGAAGGUGGCUUCGAUGGCCUGCAGAUGCCUUCCAGGCCAUUCUUCUGCGACGAUGAGCACACCGCUGUUCCGGAUUCUUACCCUUUGUUAUCCGAGCUGACCGAGAUCUCGGAGGAGGAUGAGAUCUCAGAUUCUUAUGUUUCCCGGGUCCUAUGA
rnacentral:rRNA from 1 species